rnacentral:lncRNA from 1 species
GCACAUUAAAAAGAGUGGGGGAACAAAUGUUAUAUAAAUCUAAUAAAUGUAUUGUUGAAAUACUUGAAUAUGUGCAUCAGAAACAGUCAACAUCAAUAGCAGUAACCUCAAAGAGAAAAUCAACAAGGUUACUAUGGAACAUUAUGAGAGCUGAGCCAAAGUGCCAGAAAGUGAUAUUUUGGUGGUGGAAAGCCCGAGGAUAAUGGUGCAUCAGUUAGGAAUUUAUGCCAGGUGGUGUAGAAGGCUAACUCAUCAGUUUACCUCGGCAGAUUAAGGAUCUGGGCAUUAANAUAGUCCCAUGUUGCAAUCGACGACUGAGAAACAAACUUUCACACAAGGAAUGCCUGCGUAUAAAGAUAGGUCUUCAUAGGCGCCUGUAAGUUGUAAGCGUAGUGCCUGACGACCAGCAGAGGAGGAGAGGGCACCCUGUUUACAAAGAUACAGCUACGUAAAACCUGAGAGGGUGGUGAAUGACUCACAGCGCAUCUCUAAAUCCGCUCAACUCCAGCUGAGGAGCAAAUUAUCCCCGCGUCCCCGCAACAGAACCAGCGCUUGGUGAUGCACGAUGAUGCUCCUCCCAGGAUGGACAAGAGCGUGUGACGACGACUUGCUCCUCCGACCAGGACUCCGUUCGUCCCGGGAGAGAGGGAGGGAGUUCAAGCAAGCAAAGCCGAAGCUGGCAAGAGCUUAGGAGGGGUAAGAGGAGACUGUAAGAACAAGGAGGCCGACUAAAAGGUUCCCGUCUCGCUGCAAAGCUGGUGGCACUGCGCUCCAGAGGCCUCUCGGUCUGGUUCCGCACGCAAAACAGAGUCAGGCCACUUGAACGCGUGAACAAAGCAGAUAGAGCCGGCCUGGGCGGCCCAGCACAACCGCGCGCUAACGUGCUUUCUUUCGAGCCUCCUCUUUCCUUCCCUUUUUUCCUCUCCCUCCCGUCGCGGCGGGGAAGCGGGUUUGUCGCCCUGGCAACAAGCAACAGCAGCUUCUGCUGCAGCAGGAAAGGGCCAUCUAGCAGAAGCCAAGGGAAGACCUGCCUGGCUGACCUUUGUGCCGGUUCCUUGCCCUUCAGCACAGAGCCCAUUUCCAAGGCUGCAAGGGAGGUGGAGGAGUGGAGAGAGAAAUAGGUGCAUGUCUAAGAUCCAGUCCUCUCCAUCGCAUCUUGCCUUAAGGGUUUUUUGUGUUUUCUUUUAAAUAAAAAAGAGGCAGUCAGCUCUAACUCCUCCGUG